rnacentral:lncRNA from 1 species
GCGCAUUAUGCUGGUCUCCAUGGCGGGGCCUCGGAGCCAAGACGAGAGAAAAUGCUGCUGUGAAGACCCAAUUAAAGCUUUCACAUAAAUGAAGCUACAGCUAUCAUGAUUUAGUGCCCCCAAAAGGAAGAACUUCAGUGGACAAGAAAGGACAUUUCUGGGGGUAGUAGAAUGCUUGAGGCCUGGAAUUUAAACCUGAGCCACUAUCUGAAGGUUUAAUAUAUCUUUGCCAAGUCCAAGGGUACAAAGAUUUUCUCCUGUGUUUUCUUCUAGAAGUUUUAUCAUUUGAUAGUCUGUGAUCCAUUUCAAGUUGAUUUGCUAUCUGGUGUGAGCAUCUAAUCUGUAUGGACUCCAGGGAUUCUUCCUUUGGACAAAAUGAUUCUCCUACAGUUUUGCCCAUCACUACUCGUGAAGCAAAUAAUUCACUCAUAUCACAGAAUAUACCAGGGCCCCUGACUCA